CCUACGGGGGGCAGCAGUGAGGAAUAUUGGUCAAUGGACGAGAGUCUGAACCAGCCAAGUAGCGUGAAGGAUGACUGCCCUAUGGGUUGUAAACUUCUUUUAUAUGGGAAUAAAAUGUUCCACGUGUGGGAUUUUGUAUGUACCAUAUGAAUAAAGAUCGGCUAAAUCCGUGCCAGCAGCCGCGGUAAUACGGAGGAUCCGAGCGUUAUCCGGAUUUAUUGGGUUUAAAGGGAGCGUAGGUGGAUUGUGAAGGCAGUUGUGAAAGUUUGCGGCUCAACCGUAAAACUGCAGUUGAAACUGGCAGUCUUGAGUACAGGAGAGGUGGGCGGAAUGCGUGGUGUAGCGGUGAAAUGCUUAGAUAUCACGAAGAACUCCGAUUGCGAAGGCAGUUCACUGGACUGCAACUGACACUGAGGCUCGAAAGUGUGGGUAUCAAACAGGAUUAGAUACCCCAGUAGUC
rnacentral:rRNA from 1 species